rnacentral:rRNA from 1 species
GAUGAACGCUAGCGGCAGGCCUAAUACAUGCAAGUCGAACGGUGUAGCAAUACACAGUGGCGCACGGGUGCGUAACACGUAUGCAACCUACCUAUUAUUGGGGGAUAGCCUUUGGAAACGGAGAUUAAUACCGCAUAAGACAGUGACAUGGCAUCAUGUAGCUGUUAAAGCUUUGGCGAUAAUAGAUGGGCAUGCGUCCAAUUAGUUAGUUGGUGAGGUAAUGGCUCACCAAGACGAUGAUUGGUAGGGGAUCUGAGAGGAUAAUCCCCCACACUGGCACUGAGAUACGGGCCAGACUCCUACGGGAGGCAGCAGUAGGGAAUAUUGGGCAAUGGACGGGAGUCUGACCCAGCCAUGCCGCGUGCAGGAUGACGGCGUUAUGCGUUGUAAACUGCUUUUUUAUAGGAGGAAGAAGCCCUUGCGAGGGAAAGUGACGGUACUAUAAGAAUAAGCACCGGCUAACUCCGUGCCAGCCGCCGCCGUAAAAC